GUCUAUGGCCAUACCAGCAUGAAUGUGACCGACCCCCGUCUUCUCUCAGAAGCUGAGCGGGGUCGGCCUGGUUAGAACUUGGAUGGGAGAGCGCCUGGGAUUGCCAGGUGCUAUUGGCU
rnacentral:rRNA from 1 species